UACGGGGGGGGUAAGCGUUGUUCGGAAUUACUGGGCGUAAAGGGCUCGUAGGCGGCCAACUAAGUCAUACGUGAAAUCCCUCAGCUUAACUGGGGAACUGCGUGUGAUACUGGAUGGCUUGGAUUUGGGAGAGGGAUGCGGAAUUCCAGGUGUAGCGGUGAAAUGCGUAGAUAUCUGGAGGAACACCGGUGGCGAAGGCAGGUCUCUGGGCUGAAACUGACGCUCAUGCACGAAAGCGUGGGGAGCAAACAGG
rnacentral:rRNA from 1 species